rnacentral:tRNA from 1 species
CGCGUCUUAUAAAAUUGUGCCUUAUAAUACACAGACAAAAAGAGAAGGGGAAGGAACCGAUUACGUUCAGCCGAAAUUGUUUUCCUCUUAAU